UCCACUCGUGCUUUCAGGUCCAGUUUUUUGUUUUUUGUUUUUGUUUUUUGUUUUUUUAAAUAAAAGUCACUUUUCUGAUCUGCGAUAUAUACGAUCUUUGUCUGACACACUGGCGACGCGCACAAAUAAAAAAGAAAACUGCUGCCGACCAGGACGAUUUUCGCCCAGAAGACGAUAAAACGGCGUUGUUGGAGGUUAAAGUUAGUAUCACAUCUUCUUCGUGAUCUUCUCGUCGGUCACAUCAGCGGUGUAGAAGAAGAAACAGCGCAGUCUUGGACUCACUCUGACGGGUUUCUUCUGGCCUUCGCACCCCAAACUCUCCCAACUCGUCCUCCAUCGUCAGGGCGAGCUGCUAUUUUUCUCUUCUUUUCUCGUUACUUUUCCUCGCUGUCUUCGUGUGAGUCACAGGGAUCAUCAGAGUAUCACUCAGGCUCCAGUCUGCCACAUGACAACCUCAGCAGCUCACUGCAGGCCUCUAUUAGAGCAAGUGACUGUAAAUCAGCCGUUUCCUGGAUGUGAUUUACUGCACCGUGGGUCGUCUCGCUCGGUGUAUCAUGUUGCAGGCGGCGUCUUCCAGAAAUCCCUUUCUGAAAUGAGCUGGAGCUUUUUUUUUUUUUUUUUUUUUUUUUCACAAAGCAUUUUAAUGCAGAUGUUUUCAUGAAAUAAAUGACUUAACAGCAACAACUGGGAGCGCCAGAAGAUUUAUUGUUUUCAGGUUGUCAAUGGAUACAGCCAAGAAUGAUGCCAGGAGGUCUCUGGCCACAUUAUUAAGUGGCUGAGGCAUGUGGAUUUACAGCAGGUUCCAGACGUGCCAGCCUUCGUCAUACAUCAUCUUCUACAUCCCACUAAUUCACUUAUUACACAGCGAAGGAGAUUAAUACGAGGAGGCUCCGCGGCUAACGGUCCGUUCAAAGGGCUGGUUUGUUCUGGGCUUUCGUGGUUUACACGCGCGAGGAUGUAGUUUCUGAGAAAACAACUGCAUUUGUUUUUGAAAUACUGCACACUCAUGGAAAAUUGUCAGAAUUAUAAAUAUGCCGGACGUCAGAAAAGAAAGAAAGCAUUCAGGAGCCGGGCCUAAGUUACUCAUUAUUUGAAUGAUGACACAUUUAAAUCCCCCUUUUCCUGCGAGAAAGUCAAC